rnacentral:lncRNA from 1 species
UUAUUUUGUAGACAAGAAAAAAAUUUGACAAAAAACGAAAUUGAUAAAAAAACUUUUUAUUUUUAUUUUUUAGAAAAAGUCUUUAAUUUUUUUGAUAUGACAAAAAUUUGACAAAAAAAUUCAUUUUUUUUUAAACGAAAAUUUUUAUUUUAUUGAUAAAAAAAAAUUGACAUAAAACGAAAUUGAUAAAAUCCUUUUAUUUUUUUUUUACAAAAAAAACCUUUAAUUUAUUUUUAUUAGAAAAUAAUUUGACAAAAAAAAGAGGAUAAAAAACUGUUCCGCAAGGAGAGGAAUUUAACCUGCGCACACAAUAACCGAUAUAGCACUUGCAACUUAUAGUUAAUAAAACCGUUAACAAAAUAUAUAAUAUAAAAACGUUUUAAGGUAUUACCUUUUUACAUAGUCCCACAUUGAAGUGAGAGAAACAAAUUUAUGUGAAUAAACAGUUCUUUGUAUUCACCGAUCAUACCGCAUGUGAGGCAACGAGAUCACACCACACGUGUGGAUCGUGAGCACGCAUGCGUAAAAGAAAAUAGGGCCCCGUGAAGUGUGCAAGGGGCCGUAGGCCCUUGACUGUUGAAGAAUGGGCUUGCCUCGAAAUUACCCGAAAUUUAAACAAAUGCUCUUGACUG